GUGUUCCUUCCAAUGAAUAUAGAAGAUUUUCACUGGUACCUGGCAGUUCUGAAUGCAAAAAAAAGUGAGGUACAUGUACUCGAUUCUAUGGGACAACAAAUAACGGAUCGCCGAGACCUUUAUACUACAUUAAAAGGUCUAGAAAGACAGAUUAAACUUGCAGCAAAACAUAAAGAGCUUUACCAAGGCAAGUGGUCGAACCUUGAUGUUGCAUCAUGGCCAGUUAUAGAGAAGAUCACAACACAAAUGCAAACCGAUGGGGUAUCUUGCGGGCUAUGGAUGAUAAACUAUAUGGAAUACUGGACAGGAUCCUCCCUAUCUGAUAACGUAACUCAGGAUGAUAUAACAAUGUUUAGGUUUAAGCUACCUGCAAUAUUAUGGGACUCGAGAUUAAACACAAAGAAAGGACAUCAAAAUCUUGACCACAAUGUGGAUGAAGAUGGAGAGAGUUCAAGUGAUGUUCAAAUAAUCGAUACUCCAUGUGAGUUAUCUAAAUCGUCAAAUACAUCACAUCAGAUUGAACCAUAUAUAUCUCCAUAUGUUCUGCCUGCUAAAGUAACAUCAACAAACACGCAAGAACUGAUGUUUGUAUUAUGCACAUAUAUCAUGGGGAUAGACAACGACAAAUAUUUAAAGAAACAUUGGAUUCAGAGCACUAAACCUUAUCCAAUUUCUUUAAGUCUUCAAAAACUUAAAGAUAUAUUGGAUGUAAAUAAGCCGAUGGAUACAGAUUGUUUUAACAUGGCUGUUCGGAUGAUCGCAUGCAAUGAUUCCUUGUUCUUGUUGGAAGACAAAUACCACUACAUGGAUCUACAGUUCUGUGUAAGUUCAAGUAAUUAGUCUUUAUUCAUAUAAGUGUGUUCAUUAUAUAAUUAUUUUACUAACAAAAAGUAGUCCAUAACUAAAUUUGGUCGAGACCCUCGCCUUCGUGCAAAGCCAGAUAUCAACAUGUUGGCAAAAUUAUUAGAAUGUUGGCCUGACAUGGAGUACGAUGUUUCAGAUUGCAAACAAAUUCUAUUGCCCUUUUCUUUCUUGGGUCACUUCACCUUAUAUGUACUUAACAUGGACACUAGAAGCAUCUAUAUAAUGGACUCCAUGCCUAUACCAUCAUGGUUUAAGGGUGAUCAUCCUAGCAUGCAUUAUAUUCAUAAUAUACAUUAUAUUGCCAAUAAUAUGAAUGCUGCCAUGGAAUUGGUCAAUCCUACAUGGAAAGACGAUAUUUAUAUGUGGCGUCGUAUAGUACCAACAUGGGUUCCAAGAACAUUAAACUGGGAUUUAUCUGGCUUUCUUGUUAUCAACUUUAUGCACGAUUGGAAUGGUAUAAGGUUACCCUGCAUUUGCACUAAUGGGAAUGACCUGAGGACCAAAUUCUUAGUAGAAUUAUUGAAGUACAAGGACAAUGAAUCCAAAGACAACAUUCCAGAAGAAAUACAAGAAAUUAUUAGGCACAUCAGAUAGAUAUGAUUUUAUUUGUAAUGAUACUCAACUUAUUAUCCUAAUUAAUUUUAUUGCCUUUUAGGUUCGUAGUAUCGUUAGGAACAUUUGCCAACAUAUAUUUUAGUUAUAUGUUGCACAUAUGAAGGCAGUUCAGUUUUCUGUACUUUCAAAGAUGCAUUGGUGUUUUAGAAGCUUCAGCUUAUCCUACUGUAAUACUGUGCUUAAAAGACUCCUAUGGGUUUCCAUCUUUUUAUUG